rnacentral:lncRNA from 1 species
GAGUAUGAAUACAGACUCCUUAGGAAGUGUUCACGCUGUGAUACUUUGGUCCAAUUUGCUUGGCUAAGCGUGCACCGUGGAGGAGGGAACUAGGAAGACAUUAAGACCGCAGAUGAACGUCGGACACUGAAAGCUGGACAAUGUGGAGCGGCAUUGCAUGCACUCGGGAUGAGUUUAAUAACCAGAGUUGCUCAGAUGGAGGUCUGAAAAUGUGCACUGCUCUGUCUCAGGGAGAACCAUAGCAUCUAUGAAAAUGAUAAACAACCAAAAAAGAUGGGAAGAACCGAGUUGAAGUCCUGAGUGGCUGUUCUUCAUCCAGCACUGGGAGUCUGAUGUCUCAUCCUUUGCACUGCGUUCCAAAACUGCUGAGUGGAUAGGAUGUUGAAGUCACUUGUCAGGACAACUCAGCAGCUGUGAUGUAAGUUAAGAAAAACAAUUCGGAGAUUCAGAUAGGUCUGGUUGCCAUCUAAGUUUUGCCACCAACUGGCUAUGUGACAUGGCAGAGGUCACUUCGCUUCUCUGUCUCUAAGGUCCUCAUUUCCAUAAUGAAGAGGUUGUACAAGACCAUCUGUA